AUUGAACGCUGGCGGCAUGCUUUACACAUGCAAGUCGAACGGUAACAGGCCGCAAGGUGCUGACGAGUGGCGAACGGGUGAGUAAUGCAUCGGAACGUACCCAGUCGUGGGGGAUAACUAUCCGAAAGGAUAGCUAAUACCGCAUACGAUCUGCGGAUGAAAGCGGGGGACCUUCGGGCCUCGCGCGAUUGGAGCGGCCGAUGUCAGAUUAGGUAGUUGGUGGGGUAAAGGCUCACCAAGCCAACGAUCUGUAGCUGGUCUGAGAGGACGACCAGCCACACUGGGACUGAGACACGGCCCAGACUCCUACGGGAGGCAGCAGUGGGGAAUUUUGGACAAUGGGCGCAAGCCUGAUCCAGCAAUGCCGCGUGCAGGAAGAAGGCCUUCGGGUUGUAAACUGCUUUUGUACGGAACGAAACGGUCCUGGUUAAUACCCGGGGCUAAUGACGGUACCGUAAGAAUAAGCACCGGCUAACUACGUGCCAGCAGCCGCCGUAAGAC
rnacentral:rRNA from 1 species